GAUGAACGCUGGCGGCGUGCCUAAUACAUGCAAGUCGAGCGAACGGACGAGAAGCUUGCUUCUCUGAUGUUAGCGGCGGACGGGUGAGUAACACGUGGAUAACCUACCUAUAAGACUGGGAUAACUUCGGGAAACCGGAGCUAAUACCGGAUAAUAUUUUGAACCGCAUGGUUCAAAAGUGAAAGACGGUCUUGCUGUCACUUAUAGAUGGAUCCGCGCUGCAUUAGCUAGUUGGUAAGGUAACGGCUUACCAAGGCAACGAUGCAUAUCCGACCUGAGAGGGUGAUCGGCCACACUGGAACUGAGACACGGUCCAGGCUCCUACGGGAGGCAGCAGUAGGGAAUCUUCCGCAAUGGGCGAAAGCCUGACGGAGCAACGCCGCGUGAGUGAUGAAGGUCUUCGGAUCGUAAAACUCUGUUAUUAGGGAAGAACAUAUGUGUAAGUAACUGUGCACAUCUUGACGGUACCUAAUCAGAAAGCCACGGCUAACUACGUG
rnacentral:rRNA from 1 species